rnacentral:RNase_P_RNA from 2 species
AGAGACGGAUGUGCAGUCGCUUUACAUUUAUUGUGAAGAGGAAAGUCCGGACUUUAACUGCAAAAAAGCAUAGGCAUUAUUGCAGAAAACGGUAGCAGGUAAUACCUGUCACCCGCAAGGGCAGAGGUGCGAACAGAGACGCCUUUUCCGGAGACGGAAAAAGUAUCCUUAUAUCAAAGGAAACGUUUUCCCGCAAACGAGAAAAUGGGGAAAAUAGCCUGAAAAAAGGAUAAGCUUUUGCAGCAAUGCAGAAGGUGAAACGGCUAAAUCCUUACUGGAAAGCAAGACUGAAGUAUAGUCGCUUGACCGUUAAAAGUGAUUUUAACGGCAGAGAAAUGACUGCACUUUUAAAAUUUAUUUUUAAAAGACAGAAUUCGGCUUAUAAUCCGUCUUUAUUU